rnacentral:rRNA from 1 species
GCCAGACUCCUACGGGAGGCAGCAGUGGGGGAUAUUGCACAAUGGGGGGAACCCUGAUGCAGCGACGCCGCGUGGGUGAAGGAGCGUUUCGGCGCGUAAAGCCCUAUCGGCAGGGAAGAAGGAGGACGGUACCUGACUAAGAAGCCCCGGCUAACUACGUGCCAGCAGCCGCGGUAAUACGUAGGGGGCAAGCGUUAUCCGGAUUUACUGGGUGUAAAGGGGGCGCAGACGGCAGCGCAAGCCAGGAGUGAAAGCCCGGGGCUCAACCCCGGGACUGCUUUGGAAACUGCCUGACUGGAGUGCUGGAGAGGCAAGCGGAAUUCCUAGUGUAGCGGUGAAAUGCGUAGAUAUUAGGAAGAACACCAGUGGCGAAGGCGGCUUGCUGGACAGUAACUGACGUUGAGGCUCGAAAGCGUGGGGAGCAAACAGGAUUAGAUACCGGG